rnacentral:piRNA from 1 species
CUCUGCUGUACUGCCACCAACA